rnacentral:misc_RNA from 1 species
GAUGAAGAACGUAGUGAAAUGCGAUACUUGGUGUGAAUUGCAGAAUCCCGUGAACCAUCGAGUCUUUGAACGCAAGUUGCGCCUCAAGCCAUUAGGUUGAGGGCACGUCUGCCUGGGCGUCACAUAUCGUUGCCUGAUGCCAGUUUCCUCGUGAUGGGUGACUGUGCAGGGCGAAUGAUGGCUUCCCGUGAGCAUUGUUGCCUCAUGGUUGGUUGAAAAUUGAGUCCUUGGUAGGGAGCGCCGUGAUAGAUGGUGGUUGAGUGACGAACGAGACCCAAUCAUGUGAGACCCCUACCGAAUUUGGCCUUCAUGACCCACAUGCGUCUUUGGAACGCUCAUGACGAGACCUCAGGUCAGGCGGGGCUACCCGCUGAGUUUAAGCAUAUCAAUAAGGGAGGA